rnacentral:lncRNA from 1 species
AUGGAAAAGGGGGUUAAGGUUGAAGGUUUGUGUCCCUUCACCCUCUCAAACAGAAUCGGCGCCGCUCCCUCUUCUUCCGUUGCCUCAACCUUUCAACGACGCUGGAAUCUCAAAUCGUCGAAGCUCCAUGGCUCGCGGAUUCAACGUCAUCUCGUUGUUUUUCCUCAUCACCCCUUGCCUCGUCAGUCCUUUUCUCCUUCGAUUCAACUCCAUGUUUCAUUUUCUAUGAUCAAUUGA